AGACAGGAGGUUCUGACAUCUGUCACUCCAUCAAUUACCAGGAUUAAUUUGGUUGAUCUGGCUGGCUAAGCAAUUGUCCCCUUCUUCUCUCACCAAUCCAUGUGUGUCCCUCCUGAAGCUAACACCCUUUGUUGAAACAGAUGAGUGUCCCCAAAAGAAGAUGAUCAACACUCCACAUUGCAAUUACUGCCUUCUCCUCCUCCCCUGAGCAUGUCCUGGACCAGGUGUCACUGUUU
rnacentral:sRNA from 1 species